AGGCAUGCCCUUCUAUUUCGUUCCAAAAGAGAGAAGUAAAAGCAUACAUGCUCUCUAUUUUUUCUUUCUUCAUCUCUGAACCUGCCGAACCAACUAAACCAUUUCUCACUUCAACUGUUAAGCACCAUAUCAUAUAAAGGCUUACUAAAACGUCUACAAAUUUCGGCAAAGAAGAAAGGUGAUGGGCUGAAUUUGGAGUAUAACUGGGAUUGCAGCAGUAAAGGAGGCCUAAGCUAAUCAAAUAAGCUAGCAAUUCGGUAAAAUUAAACUUUAAAGGUAAAUUCAAUAUUUUUGUUGUUGUAUUAGAAAUUUGAUGAUAAAAGUGCUAUAAUUAGAUGUGUUUUUGUGAAUAUGGGACUGCUAUUGUUUGAAUUAGAAUCAAGGAGUUUAGGUUGGUUGUGAGGAGUAGGCCUGACAAAAUAUUGUUAUGGAUUGAUUUUGGUUUUUAAAAUAUGGUUAUGGUUCCAUUUAAGAACUAAAAUUAUAUUAACCAUUUUUAAUAUGGGUUGUGUGGGUUGAAACUAUAUGGUUAUGGUUCAAAAUCAUAUUAACCAUUUUAAGAUGUUUUGACUUUUAAACAAAAUUUUUGAAAAAUGAAAUUGUGACCGUCACAAUUAAAUUAAUUAAGUAAUAAUAUGAUAUAAAAAUUAUUAAUAUAAAUAAUAAAAUGCUAAAAAAUUAUACUAAUAAAAUUUUAAAUUAAAAUUAUUAAUACCCUUUCAUAUUUAAAUAAUUUUUCAAAAUUAUUAUUAACCUGCUAAUAGAAAGAUUGGAAUCCAAAAUACACAUAAUUCUAUGAAUGUUGUUUAAAUAUUAAAACAUAUUUAUACUUCUUUUAUAACUAGAAUACUAAUUUCAUAAACUGACACAUACAGAACAACAUUAGUCAUCCAAAAGAAGAACAUAUUAAUUUAUAGAACAUACAAAAUAAGUAGAAAAUUGAAUAUAAUCAUAUAAUUCUAUAGACCAUAUUAAAAUUUAAUUAAUUAGACAGACAUUAAAAUUUAUCGUCAUGAUUCUUUUAUUUCAAUUUUUAUGGUGAAUGUGUAGAUUAAUGACAAAUUAAUAAAAAUUAUGAUCAUUCUUGACGGAAUAAUAUCAUGUUGUUUUAGUCAAUUAGCUUUGUAAAGUCAAAAAUAUAAUUUUAAUUGUAUAAUAGAUGAAGUAGUAUUUUAGUAAAUACUCUCUUUGUAAAUACGAUUAUUAUUAAUGUUUAGAAGUCAAUUUAAAUAUUUACAAACUUAAUACUAAUUUUUUUUUAUUUUACUUGAUACAAGGAUGAAUAUUAUAAACUAUUUAAAAAUAAUAUUAUUAAUUUUAAAUUUUAUUAUUUUUAAUAAAUUAUUUUAAUUUUAAAUUUAAAAAUAUCUCAAAAACAAUCUUUUAAAAAUCAAAUCAAUACUAAUCUUAUAGUUUGAAUUAUUCUUUCUUUCUUUUCACCUUUUUAAUGUUUUUCUCUCCGUAUAAAUUAUAAAUUAUAAUGGGGUUGGCAAUAAGCCAAUAAAGUUAGCUGAACUUCCUCUCCUCCUUUUUGAUUGUGUUUUAAUUUAAUUUGCUUCAUCCAUUAAUUUGUAUAUUUUAAUAUUAAAUUAGUAUCCGGCGAGGUGGCGCAUGGAUGAAUGUUCAGAACUAUGGGUUGAAAAAUGGAAUGGAAUAUGGGUUGAAAAUGGUUAACCGGUUCAGAACUAUAUUUCUUUUAAAAAGUAUGGGUCCAAACUUUAACCAACCUGAAUAAAUAAAGAUGGUUAACCGACCCAUUUGGUUCUAGUUAAUAUGGUUUGACCCAACAGUUAACUAACUAUAUUGCCAGGUCUAGUGAGGAGUAAUAAGGUGAGAAGAAGAAGACAAGAACACAAAUCAAACCUCUAGAAAUUUGAACUAUAAAGGAAUGCACAAAACUUGUUUGUCAAAAGUCCUCUAUGGACUAUUUUGGUUAAAAACCAAAUAUUAGACAGAACCAAGACUUAGACUAGAUGUAUAUACUUUAUAUGAUGACAAGUAAAGAGUUUGAGCAUAUUAAAUGAAAGCGAAAAGAAAUUUUUAAGCCAAAACAAAAAUUAAAAACUAGUGCGUCAAGCCAAUUUUGGAGUUUGUUUUUAGCAGCUUACUGAGUCUGAAAUGAGGGACUCAUAUUUUUUAAAAAUAGCCUGCUAUGGCAUCUAAAAUAUAUUAAAAUUUGGUAUGUGACGCCCCCAAAAUAGGUAUACAACACCCAUUCUAAGUCGCCAAAUACAUGGUACAAAAAUAACUACAACUUUAUUACUACAAUUGUCGUGCAAAAUACGACAACACAUAAACCGUGAGUUUAAAAACAAAUAUUGUCUUCUAGACAAUAUCCACACUCAAAUAAGUCAUCAUUACAAUUAUUGAUAUACUAUUUUACAAAAUAGUGAGGAGUACAAAAAUAACUUUCUAGAACCUUCAUUCCAUACCCCGACUAGUACUCGCUACAUUCUCGCCUCCUGAGAAGAAAAAUGGAACAAAAAGGAAAAGGGUGAGCUCAACUAGCCCAGUAAAGAAUAUUAUAACUAAGAUAAUAUAGAAUAAAUUAUCGUUAGUGCUCAACAGGGAAAAAUCUGAUAGAAUAUAAUAGACAACAAGUUUCAGAUCAAUAUUCGCAACGGAAAUAAUAAUUCAUUAGAAGAGUUACGUAGAGAAUGAAAUCUACUAUCUUCUAUGAUUUAAAAGUCCAUCAUCAAUAUUUUAUCCCUGUAACAUCCAUCAAUAUACAUCUUGAAUCAAAUAUUCAUCUUUGCAGUACAGGCCAAAGAUAUUCAUCAGUUGGUCAUGUUCAUCUCAACACCUGUACAUCUUUGCAUUACGGGCCAAAUAUAUUCAUAAGAAAAUCAUUCAUCUUUGCACUACAAGCCAAAGAUAUUCAGUAAUAUCAUUAUUUAGGACUGAGGAUGAUGAAAAAUAUUUUAAAGAAACGAAUCCAGUUAAACAAAAGGACAAAGAUUAGGAAUUCGUACUUUAAACAGUUCAAUUCAAAAAUACUUUAUAAAUAAUCAUAGUGGAGUAAAAUUCAAGAAUGAAAACCAAAACAUGGAUACAAUCAAAGCUAGUAUCCAUAAUAGAUAUCUUGGAUAAAAAAUGAAAAUUUAAUUUUUUUGUGAAUAGUACCGUAUUCGUGAAUAGUACCGUAUACGUGAAUAGUGUCGUAUACAUAAAUAGUAACCCCGACACUAAAAGACAAAAAUUUCACAAGAAAAAUCUUUUCAAUAUUCCGGCAUAAUGAUAUUGAAAGAAAUAAUAUCAUUUAUAAAAAAAAUAACAUCCUUACCUCGAAAAGACAAUACUUCUAACUGGAAUACUGGAUAUAGUGUUGAAGGGAACUUGCACCGUAUAGUAACACUCAAAGUAUUAAAAUACUCACAAGAAUACGCUCGAUAAUAUAGAGAGAAAAGAUUUCAGUUUCUGGUGUGAUUUUUAAUUCUAACCUAAGCACCCUAUUUAUAGGAAAAUGCUUAGAACAUCAAAGCAGAAAAUUUAAUAAAAUAAUAAUAUAAUUAAAAAAAUUCAAGCCCACCUUAGACCAACUGAAUUCAGCACAUUUAUAUCACAUGUGAGGCCCACUCAAUUGCAAAAAACGUUUUUCUUAAAAUAAUUAUUUAAAACUUCAAAAAUCAAUUAUUCCGGAACUUCAAUACCUCAUAAUAAAUAGCCAUUUUAUCAGAAAAAUUCGAAUCUUAUGUCCAUUCCAUAGGAAAUUCAAUUUUCUACAACUUUGUAAGUUUAAGAUUUCUAAAUUCCAAGCAGAAGUUGACUGAAAUUCACAAACGGACGAUUUUACAAGCUAUAAUCAAAUUUUAGUCAAAAAAUGGGGCCCACCAACACACAAAACAUGUGUUAAACAUUUUUUGUAACAAAAAUACUCUUCCUCGUCAUUUAUUCACAUAUCACACAUUCAUUGUAAAAAUAUCACCAUUAUUAUAUUAUUAUAAUAUAAUAAUAUAUUUAAAUGAAUUAUUUUAUCAGAAAAAGAUAAAAUAACUUUUUUCAACAAUUGUCACAUUAAAAAUUUUCUCCAUCUAUAUCCACAUAAAAUGAAUAUUUUCCUUAUCAUAUAAAUCAAUAAUUAAUUAUUCACAAAUAAUAUUACAGAAUCACAAUAUCGACAACCAGGCCGUUCCAAAGAAAGAGGGGGCUUUCCAAUAAGGAUUUCUCUUUACUGGCGCGCAAUUAGGUGAUCAAACCUCUCCUUAGACAGAAUUUUCUAGAUAUUGCCAAUAAUGCUAUCUAAUAAUAUUAUUCAAAUAAUGUGAAUUAUUGAUUUGGUAAUGAAAAAUACUGUGUAAUGACAAUUAUUGAAACAACAAUAAUAUAAAAUAUCAACGUGGCAAUUAUUAAAUCAAUAAAAUAUUGAACAGUAAUUACUGUAACAAUUAUUGAGUAGUGCCUUCUUUCGUAAGAAUCAAUAAUUGGUGCAAUACCGUGUGCUACUGUGUUUUAACCACCGGGUAUUCCAACAGUAUUAACGGUAACUACGACGUUAUUUAUAAACAACUUAUACUUGUCGUUUUCUUCAUCCAAUCGCUUUUUGUUAUGGGGCCCACACAAGGCUGCGUCGUCCUAUGAAUAUUCCCCGAUAGUAAGAAUAUUCCACUACCAAAUGAAUAUUCCCCGACAAUAAUGAAUAUUUUAUAACCACUUGCUUAUUUGAAAUAUUUACGCAUUUUACCCAUAACUAACCACAUUAAUCAAAUCAACCCUUACUAUUUCAAAAUAAUAAAUAGAGGAAAUUCAAUUUCAUUAAUAAUAAGUUGGGGUCUUAUAACCUCCCCUCAUUAUGAAAUUUCGUCCUCGAAAUUGACGUACGUACUUGGUGUUUCGAAAAGGUGAGGAUAGCUCACUUUUAUUUUCGUUUCCAAUUCUCAGAUCAUUUCCUCAAUAGCAUGGUUUCUCCACAAAACUUUGACUUGUGAUAUGACCUUUGUGCAUAGGACAUGCUCCUUCCUAUCCAAGAUCUUGACAGGUACCUCCUCGUACAUUAAAUCUUUGGCUAUUUCGUCUGGUUCUAACUCAAUAACGUGGUUCGGGUCUUUCACAUAUUUUCGAAGCACCGAUAUGUGAAAAAUAUUAUGAACACGAGACAUACUUGGAGGUAACGCGAGUCUAUAGGCCACAUUUUCUACUCGGUCAAGAAUCUGAAAUGGACCGAUAAAUUGUGGAUUGAGAUUUUCUCUUUUCCCAAAUCUUGUAACUCCCUUCCAUGGAGCAACACGCAACAAUACAUAAUCCCCAAUACUAAAUUCCACGUCCUUUCGAUGAAGAUCCACAUAACUCUUUUGUCGAUCCUUUGCCGUUUGCAUACGUUAUCGAAUCAUUUAGAUCUUUUCUGUAGUCAUACGUACCAACUCUGGUCCCAACAAUGUUGCUUCACUCACCUCAUCCCAACAUACUGGAGAGCGACACUUUCGUCUAUACUAUGCGUCGAAUGGAGCCACACCUAUACUUGCUUGAUAACUGUUGUUGUAGAAAAAUUCCACCAAUGGUAAAUACUUAUCCCAACUCCCUUUGAAGUCUAGGACACAGAGUCUUAAUGUGAGACCUCAAAUUUUAUGAAUAAAGAUUUAAAUUUCUCGAAAUAUUUUUUUGAAUAUUAUGGAAUAAAUUUGAUAUAAUGUUAUAGUUGUGGGUAAUAUUUAUAAAUUUUGCAAAGUACGCAAGUUGUUAUAUAAUAUUCGAUUGGUCGGGGAAUAUUCGUUUUAACAGGGAAUAUUCGUACGACGACACAAUCAUUGGUGGACCCCACAACAAAAUUAUUGUCGGAUUGAGAAAAUGACAAAAAUAUUUUAUGAAAAUAACGGCGGAAGUUUUACCGUUAACUGUUGAAACGCUCGGUGUUAAAAGUAUAGUAAUAUGCGUGGUUGCAUAGUAGCACACGGUAUUGAUUAUUGAUGCUUAUGUGAGAAGUCACUCAGUGUUGUUCAAUUAUUGCUACAGUAAUUGUUGCAUAGUAUCUCACGUUAUUUGAUUCAAUUAUUGUCGAUAUUUUAUAUAUUAUUAAAUCAAUAAUUGAGAUGACAGAGUUAUUAAUAUUAUUAUUUGCAAUAUUAACGAUGUCUAGAAGUUCUGCCAAUGAGAGAUUCGGUCACCUAAUUGUACGUCAAUAGGGAGAAAUCCUUAUUGGAAAGCCCCCUCUUUCCUGGGAACGACCUGGUCGAUUAAUAUUGUGAAUUAUAAUAAUGAUGAUAAAUAUUGUUAUAUAUAUUGAGGUGUCUUUUUAUGAAGUCACUGAAGUUUAUAUAUAUAAAUAUAUAUAUUAUAUAUAUAAAUUUUUUUUAUUAGUAUUAUUAAUGUAAUAAAAUAAAAAAGUUUUUUAUAUAAAACAGAAUACUUUUAUAAAGUUAUUUAUUUUAUUAGACUAUAAAUAGAAUAUAUUAUAUUCUAUUAUGCAUAGUGUUUUGCAUAGUAAAAUCUUUUUAUAUAAAACAGAAUACUUUUAUAAAGUUAUUUGUUUUAUUAGACUAUAAAUAGAAUAUAUUAUAUUUUAUUAUGCAUAGUGUUGCAUAGUGCCUGCAUAGUUUUUUGCAUAGUAAAAUCUUUUUAUAUAAAACAGAAUACUUUUAUAAAGUUAUUCGUUUUAUUAGAUUAUAAAUAGAAUAUAUUAUAUUUUAUUUAAAAGAUUUUGUUUUAUUAGAAUAUUUUAUUAAUACUGCAUAGUAAAUUAAUAUGGACCGUCCGUUUAAAAGUAAAUCAAUCUGGACCGUUCAUGAAUUAGUUACUAUUCAGUCCAUUCUCCUAUAAAUAGAAGCUCAUUCCUUCAUUAUUUCUUACGAAUUCACUGAAACUCUAGAGAGAGAAACUAUAGAGAGAAAGAAGAAAAGUAUUCUGCCACUUCACUACUCCUAUAUCCAGUUUCUUCUAAGGUAAGGGAUAUCAUUAUUGUAGUAAGGGAUAUUAUUUUUUGUACUCGUAAGGGGUAUUAUUUCUUUCGUAUUCAUGAAGAGAACUUCUGUUAUUCCAUUCUUUAUUAUUCUGUUGGAAUAACUUGUAUACGCGGGCUACCCUAUACUUGGUGAAAUUCUUCUGUUAUUCCAUUCUUUAUCAUUAUGUUAGAAUAACCUGUCUAUGCGAAGUACCGCAUACAUGGUGAAAUUCUUCUGUUAUUCCAUUCUUUAUUAUUCUGUUGGAACAUCCUACCUGUACGUUUACGCAUGACCUGGUUCCGUUAUUUAUUAUUCUGUUGGAAUAUCCUGUCGGUGCGUAUUACGCCUGACCUGGUUCCAUUAAUUAUUAUUCUGUUGGAAUAACCUGUCUGUGUAGUCUAUCACAUACAUGGUGAUUUUUGUUGUUAUUCCAUUCUUUAUUAUUCUGUUGGAACAUCAUGUCUAUGCGUUUACGCAUGACCUGGUUCCGUUAUUUAUUAUUCUGUUGGAAUAACCUGUUUAUGCGGUCUAUCGCAUGCCUGGUGAUUUCUUUUGUUAUUCCAUUCUUUAUUAUACUCAGUUGGUUAAAGUUUUGACUUCUAUACUCCAUGAAAUUAGUGGAAUAUCCUUGAUAUUUGCGCUUUAUCCUGUAUCUUUUUAUGUAAAUAUUCUUCUGAGCAUUCUUGAAUUUUACUCCACAAAGCAGUAUCAUGUUGACAAUUUGGACAUUAUUGAGUUCAGAAUAAAUUAACUUAUUAAUCUUUAAAAUUUAUUCUUGAACUUGUUGUAUUGAAUUAUUAUGUCAUUGUCAUCAUCCUCAUGCUUAUAUUGUGAUGAAAGUCAUCUUUGGCUUACGUGCAUAGAUGGACUUGGUAUGACUAUGACCAGGGAUUAUUCGGUAUAAUCAUGACCUGUAAUGUUAUAAAUGAUGUGGUAAAAGUCCUCAGUGGCCUGUAGUGUAUUGACGGAUAGUUUUUGGUAUGAUUAUGACCAGGGAUUAUUCGGUAUAGUCAUGACCAUUGAUAAUUUAAUGAAUAUCCUUGGCCCGUAAAGCAGGGAUGACUCGAUGAUGUGGUUUAUUUAUUAAGCUGAGUCUCAGCGAUAAAAAUUAAUGAAAACAUUUUAAAUCAUAGAAGAUAGUAGAUAUCAUGCUCUACUUGACUCUUCUAAUGGAUUGCUUAUUCCGUUGCAGUUAAACUUGAUGUCUAUUAUAUUUUAUCAGUUUAACAUUGUUGAAGACUAAUGAUAAUUUAUUCUGCAUUAUCUUAGUCAUAAUAUUUCUUACUAAGCUAGGUGAGCUCACCCCUUUCUUUCACCGUUCUCUUCAGGAAAUGAGAACGUAGCCGGGACUAGUCGGGGAACAGAGUGAUGGUCCAGAUGAUAGUAUUAGUAGUCCUCAAUAUUUUGUUAAAUAGUGUGACAAUAAAUGUAUUGAGGACUCCUUUGGGUGUGGAUAUUGUCUAGAUGACAAUAUUCCUAUUAAAACUCUCAAUUUAUGUUUUAUCGUAUUUUACACGACUGUUGUAUAAUUAGUUUGUAUUUGUAUUCAGUACCUUGUACUGUGACGACUCAGAAUAGGUUUCAUUCAAAAAGGGGUUUCUACCAGGGGCAGUUUUGUAAUUUUUCUGACCCUAAAAAAUUCUGAAAAAAAUAUGAAAUGAUAAUUUGAUGAGUUUUCUAGAUUGUGUUCAAAAAUGGCGAUUUUUGGAUGUAUAGAUUAGGAGUUAUGAAUUUUAUAAGAAAAAACUAUUUUAAAAGUAAACCCUUAUAACUCCUUGUGGUUAGCUCCAAAAUUGGUGAAAUUAUUAUUGGGAGUACAUGUAUAUAAUAGGAGUAUAUCUUGUAAAUUUCAGAAUUUUUGGACAAAAGUACAAUUUAUGAUAAAUGUUUAAAUAUUCGGCAGUUUUAGCCAUAUGAAAAAUAGUAAAUGAAUUUUAAAAAUUCUGAGAAAAAUAUAUGUUCAAUAUGAGACUAUAUUCUGCUAAAUCCCAAAAAAGAAAUAUUUUUGGAACUGAUUUGGUAUUUUUCAUGAAAAUGAACUAAAUAUGAGUAAAUGAAUUAAAUAUGUUAUGUGAAGUAAUAAAAUUAGAAAAUAGGAUUUUAUGGCUUGGGAAUCCUAUAUAGGGUAUAUGCAGAUUUUUUAUGAGGGAUUUGAUCAUUGAUGAUGAAAUCUUAUGAGUAUGGCAUUUUUGAAUGAUUAAAUGUAUUAUUUGAUAAAGUGUAAACAAUUGAAAUAAAUUGUUUAUAAGUUUAAGAAGUGAUUAAAAUGUUAUUAUAAUCACUACAAGAAAAAGGCCUAACAGCGACCAAUAAUAUCAGCGACCGCAUUUUCGGUCGCUGAUAGUAUUAAUAGCGACCGACAUCUGCGUCGGUCACUGAGAUGAAUUUCCCUCCCAAAAAUUGAUGCGAAAAGUUGGCGCGUUUGUUUUUUGUGACAAUUAUAUAUCAGUGACCGCAAUGCGGUCGCUGAAUCGUCCACGUCAUUAAAAAUCAGCGACCGCAUUCGGUCGCUGCUCGCGGUCACUGAUCAUCUAAAACUUAUUCAGACUCAGGCCUUCGUUCCUUCAGUAGAUGAGAGAAGAAAACGAGGGAGACAGAAUAGGGAGACGAGGGAGAAGGGGAAGAAGAGAAGAGGGAGGGAGAAAUUGACCGCCGCUACUCGCCUCCACUGCCAUCGCCGCCGCCACAGGUAACCCUAAUUUUCUUUAUUUCUGAAUUGGAUAUAGAUUGGGUGUUAUUCUAUUGAUAGAACUUUUUCCCCAUUGAAUUAUUCUUCGAGUUUGGGUAUUCUACCUUAAUGGUAGUAUGUAAUUUAUUUCAUAUACAUGCCACAUUGACAUAAUUGCUAACUAAUGCCAUUAUGCCCCCAUUACAAAAGCUGCUACGAAAAUUGGGGCAAAAUAUUUGUAACAAAUGCUGGUGAGAUUUUAUUAGAUUCUUCUAGUUUUGUGAUUUUAUUGCGGAGAGAUGUAAGGAAGCUGUUAGGUUUGUAAUCGAUGCAUGGGUAAAUGGUUUCUUCUGAUUUGGUAUGUAGACUGUAGUGGUAUGCCAUGGAUGUUAUACCCUGUAAUAUUAAAUACAAUUCCAACUCCUAGAUUUUAGUUGAUUCCGCAUUACUGAAUUUUUGUAAAAUUUUGAUGUCCAUCUCGUGUAUGUACUCGAAACCAUAAUAAUUUGGAUAAUAUUAAUGUGGUGGGAUUGAUUUGUUAUGCUUGGUUGUUAAUCUUGGCACAGACAGUAGUCUGAAAUAUUUGCAGAAAUUAUGGCUCGUGCUGAAGAGAAGCAAGAACCAUACUUGGUAUUUGAGAAAUGAUUUUUUUGAUACAUUUCGUAAGUGUAUGAGUGUGGUUUGAUUCUUAGGUGUGUGAGUGUGGUGCGUGAGAAAAUUAAAAGAAAAAAUAUAUAAUAAUUUGCACAAAAUUAUAUUAAGCAAAGUUAAGUAUUCCCUCUGUCUUAAAACGACACAUAUUAAGAGACUAAUAGAGGAUAAUACAAGGAUCAAAUGUGAUAUGCUAGGGGUAAAAUGGAGAACUUCCGUAUAUCGCGCUACUAAUCAUGUUCGGCAAUCCUAGCGCAUUUUAGAAAAAAAAACUCACUUGAUAAUCAACACAGACAAAAUAGAACUAUAAAUCUCACGAUUUAUCAUGGAAAAAGUAUCCGUACGGUUACUAAUAGUUUGAGAUCAGUAAACUCAAAAAGUCCACUCAGCUAGCAAUUAUAAAUGCAUAGGGCAAAUAUACCAACCAAAACCAUGUUCAUGUACUUGAGUACCAUGUCAAGUCUACACUAUAGAAUUGUAGAGGACUGCCAAGAAAUUCAAUUAUAAUGCAUGCCCCCAACAGUACACUUGUCAACAAAUACACUUAAGACAUGCUAAUUUCUGCCAUUUUGUACAAAUGGUGGAUUGAUCCAUUUAUAUUGGGAAUUUGUAUAUUUCUCUUGGUUUGUGUCUUGGGUGCCUAGAAAUGACCAUAUAUACAUGUCGUCGUGCAUGUGGCUAGUCCAUAUUAUAGGAGAGACUCUGGCAAAAAAAUUUUGUUGGUCGAGUAGUUGCGAACAUUUAUAAUAUUAACGAGCUCAAGUCAUAUGCUUACUAGCUAGUAUGCUUAAGUCAUAUGCUUACAAGUAUGCUCAAUAUGCUUAAAAGUAUGCUUAAAUGUUAAUCAUAUGCUCACAAGUAUGCUCAAGUUAUAUGCUUACAAGUAUGCUCAAGUCAUAUGGUUACAAGUAUAUAUGCUCAAGUUAUAUACUUAUAAGUAUGCUUAAAUGUUAAUCAUAUGCAUGCUUACAAGUAUGCUCAAGUCAUAUGGUUACAAGUAUACUCAAGUCAUAUGCUUACAAUCAUGCUAUACAUUAAUUAAUAAGCUCAUGUUGUCUGUAGUAGGUACCGUGGAAUUAUGGACCUCUCUUCAAACCGUAGUUGGAUGGCACGACGAAAGUCAAGUGCCUAGAUAGGUGCUAUAGCUGAAUUUAGAGCUGGUUGCCAAGUGUUUUUAGAGUAUGCGUAUAGUCACCCGGAAUGUAUGAAUGGUAAGUCGCAGAUACGAUGUCCAUGUUUGAAGUGUAAGAAUGUAAAUUAUAUGGACAGAGACAUGGUAAACUAUCAUUUACUUGUUUCUAGAUUCAUAAAAAAUUACGAAGAAUGCUGGUGGGCACAUGGGCAGAGAAGAGAUGGUGGCAUCACAGAAGUACACAAUUUGGGCAAUAGUACUCAUCGUAUGAAUGAAAUGGUUCAUAAUAUUGCAGGGCCAGAUUUUGAUUGGGAACAAGGCAGAGAGCAACCUAUGAAUUCUGAUGCCAAAGACUUCUUUAAGUUGUUAGACGAGGGUAGCGAGCCAUUGUGGCAUGGUUGCACCAAACACACUACAUUAUCUGCAGUGGCGACAUUACUUAACAUCAAAGCUGAUCACAACAUGAGCCAUAAGUGUUUUGAGUCGCUCUUGAAGGCUAUUAAGAGUAUGUUGCCUGACGGUGAGAAAUUACCUGGUAACUAUUACUUUUGUAAGAAAAUGGUGAAGAAGUUAGGUCUUGGAUACCAAAAGAUCAAUGCAUAUCCUAACAAUUGCAUGUUGUUUUAUAAGGAAAAUGAACAGAUGACAAGGUGCAUGUUUUGCAGUCAUGAUCGGUUUAGGCCUAAUAAAGAGGGUGUGACUACAAAAAAAUCAAGUAUACCGUUUAAGAUUCUAAGGUAUUUUCCAAUAACACAUCGGUUAAAAAGAUUGUACAUGUCUUCAAGCACAGCUGAACAUAUGAGUUGGCAUGCGAAAUCCCUAGCUAAAGAUGGAGAACUAAAUCAUCCCGCAGAUGGGCUGGCUUGGAAAGAUUUCAACUUAGCACAUCCUGGGUUUGCAUUGGAACUUAGAAAUGUGAGGCUUGGAUUGUCCACCGAUGGUUUCAAUCCGUUUGGCCACUCAGCAGUUCCGUACUCAUGUUGGCCUGUGAUUGUUACUACGUACAACUUGCCUCCUUGGAUGUGUAUGAAACAGCCAUACUUGUUUCUUUCACUCGUGGUUCCUGGUCCUAAGAGUCCUAAAAAGAACUUAGAUGUUUACUUGAGAUCUCUUAUAGGCGAGUUGAAGGUAUUGUGGGAGGAUGGAGUACAGACUUGGGAUGUUGCAACGAAAACAAAUUUCAACCUUAGGGCAGCAGUUAUGUGGACUAUAAGUGACUUCCCAGCUUAUGGUAUGUUAGCUGGAUGGAGUACACAAGGGAAGUUGGCUUGUCCGUAUUGUAUGGAGCAUACAAAGUCGUUUAAUCUAUCAAAAGGUCGAAAGCCUUAUUGGUUUGACUGUCAUCGUCGGUUCUUACCGGUAGAUUACCCGUUUCGAAGAAAUAGAGAACACUUCAGGAAAGGGAAAGUAGACAAUGAUAUGUCUGCACCGCGAUUGUCGAGAAUGGAGAUGCGAGAUCGUGUGAUGAGAUUGCCGGUUAUCCCAUUUGGUAAGAUUGAUGUCACAAACAUAAUCAAUGGGUUUGGCGAAUCUCAUAACUGGGUUUGGAGAAGCAUCUUUUGGGAACAGCCUUAUUGGUCUACAAAUUUGAUUCGUUAUAAUCUAGAUGUGAUGCAUAUUGAGAAGAAUGUGUUUGACAAUGUGUUUAACACUGUGAUGAAUGUUACGGGGAAGACAAAAGAUAACGAUAUGGCACGUUUGGACAUGAAAGAUAUUUGUAAGCGUCCUGGAUUAGAACUUUAUAAAUCUCCUAAUGGUAAGAUUGUCAAACCGCAUGCAAGGUACACAUUGUCCAAAAAGCAAGUUGAAGAUGUGUGCACAUGGGUUAAGUCUCUGAAACUACCAUAUGGAUAUGCGUCAAACAUUACAAGGUGUGUUACAGGUGGGAAAUUGCAAGGGAUGAAGAGUUAUUGUGAUAACCCGAUAUUUUCUAUAAAAAUAAAUCAUAAAUUUUGCGUAUAAAUUUUUUUUUUUAAAUAAAUAUGGGUGAUAUGUGCCAAGGUAAUAUGUAUAUGUUUAUAUGUGUGAUAAAUAAAAUUUAUUUAUUACAUUAAUUAUUACAGAUAAUUUUAUUUUAGAAAUAUUGAUUAUUAAAAAUUAUAUUCUUAUAAUAAUUAAUUUAUAUUAGAAAUGUUUUAUUAAUUAUUUUUUCAUGAAAAUAUAGGUAUAUAUUAAUUAAAUAAUAUAUGAAAUGAUUUUUAGAAUAAUUAUAAUAAAUAUUUUAUUACAUGAAUUUUGUUCAGGAUAUUAAGUUAAUUAUUUUAACUUAAUUAAUAUGGUUAAUUACGACAGAUAAAUCAUAUAUGGAAUCCAAAUCAUAAUUCUGGGUUUUGAUCAAUGUAUGAGAAUAAUAUUAUAAUAUUAAAUAUAUUUUAAUUUUUCAGUGCUAUAAAUAUGUACUGUAUAUGUGUGAACUGUUGAUGGUUGGUCAAUUAUGGUGUAUAUUGACCAAACCCUUGUAUUACUGUUAAACCCUAAUUCUGAAGUCAAAUGAAACUGGAAGUCUGUCAGGACACUGUAAUAUGUGUUAUACGAUUGGUAUUUUUGGUCGAGCCUUAUUUUUUAUGGAAAACCAUAACUGUGAAUAAAAACCCUAAUUUUAGAAAUUAGAAACCCUAAUUGGAAACCUAAACCGGAGAUUUUGAUCAGUCAGAAAUUGUGUUACUGUGAUUAAUAACACGGAUGAUAGACUUUAAUUACUAAUUAAGGUAAACCUAAUUAGUAAAUUAAAACCCUAAUGAUUAGAACCCUAAUUUGAUAUUUAUAAAAUCCUAAUUAUUAUUUUAUAACCAUAAUUAUCAAAAUUGUACACCCUAAUUGCUAUUUUAGCAAGGUUAAUUAUGAUUAGUGGUACUAAACCCUAAUAUUCAUGUAUAAUAUAAUUACUAACUUAAUCUAAUUAACAAAUUCUAAUUUUCAAAUUUUAGAAACUAAAAUAAUUUUAUUUCUUUACAAACCCUAGUUGCUAAAUCUCACUUAUGCUAUAUGUUAAACCUUAGGGUUAAACCCUAAGGGUUUGGCAAGUUACAAUAAUACAAUUAAAAUGAUUUACUAAUGGACCAUUUUGCCCCUAGUUACAUUAUUUUGGAAAGAAUAGGUUUUGACAUUAGAUGGGAGUGGGUUACCUAAUAUAACUACUCCAUUGACUUAAUUUUUCCAGCACAUGGGCUCUAAAUCAGCUAAUACAUGCAUUGUAACACAAUAUAUAUAGAUUGAAAGAGAGAGAAAGUUCACUUUUAAACCAUUUGGACACCCACUCUCUAACAAGUCUCUCUCUCUCUCUCUAAGCAACAAAUUCCCUUAGUAUUUCAGUCACAUAUACAAGCCCCACGAAAUCCCAUAACCAAAUCAGAAGCUAGAAAUCAGAAAUUAAGCAUAGAAGGUAUAAAACUCUACCUCAAAAAUUUGUCCAUUUUUCUGUUGUUAGAUGUUAGUUUUAUGUGUUAAAUAUGUUGUUUAUGAUGUAUAAUGAUGAUCUGGGUUGCUAGAUGUUAGAUCCAUAACAUCUAGAGGCUCAGAUUUGAUGUUCUUCAAAAUCUGGAAAAAGUUGGUCUUGUGGUCUGACAACAAAUGUCAGAGGCCACAGAUCCUUAUCGUCUAUGAUUUUUGUUGUUUUUAAGUUGAUAUGUGUAGGUUAUAAUGAGAUCGUUAAUCUAAAAAAGGAAUUAAAGUCAUUGGGUUUACAGAUUGCUAGUUAUUAACGGUCAAAGGUCGUUGACCGACCAUGACCAAGCCAUUUCUGGGCAGCCCAGAAAUUUAUAAACAAGCGUCUGACAAGUUUUGUUGGCCUUUGAUCUUUCUGUUUGUUAUUGUUUUGUUGUUUUUGUUGCAUCUAGAUUGUAGUCUAGUAUAUGAACUCCAUGUUUAUGCCUUAAAAUAUCCUAAACAUUAAACUGGAUGAAAGUAGUAACCGGUCAAAGUAGAUAAGUUGUUCACGUUUAUGGUUUUCUGGAAAACCCAGAAAAUUUAUGAACACUGGUUCUGACACGCUUUGACCGGCUUGUAUUGGCUUGAUUAUUUGUUGUUAUGGUUGUGUUUUGUAAUAGAUCGGUAGUAUUACAUGUGGGCUACAAUCUGCAAGUCAUAGAUCAUUAAAUCAUUAAACGAUUCGAUUGUAGUGGAGGCUCAAAAUAGGACCCUUGUUACUGAUCGAGUUUCUGGGCAACCCAGAAACUCAAAGAUCGUGUCUGACAUCAACUUCUGUAGAUUAUAUCUUGCUAUUAUGUGAUGAUUUGGCCAUGAAACCUGUUUAUAGAUGUAGUACUACAUGAGUACUACAAUAUUAGCUAAAUUUGUAGUCCAGAAACACUUUCUGUGAUGUUUAAUUCGUGGUCAAAUAUGCUUACUCGGUAACAAGCUUGAUUUUCUGGGUUUGCAUGAAGAACACGAACACCUAUAGCGACGGUUCUGUCGCUAUAGGUGGUCUUUAGCGACAAUUUUGAAUAAAAAUUAUAUUUUUCUUAAAUAAUUAGUAUUAAUUAGUUUUUAAUUCUGAAAAAUACAAAAUAAAUUAUUAAAAAUUAUUUAAAAGUCCGAAAAUUAUAUUUUAAUUAUUUUAAUUAUAUUUCAUAAAUAUUUAAUAUUUUUAGAAUAUUAAAAGUAUUUAAUUUAUUUAAUUAUAAUAUUAAAUAAAUUAUUUAAAAAUGAUUUUAAUAAUUGAAAAAUUAUUUAAAAUUAUAUUAUGAUAUAAGAAAAUAUUUUAAGUUAUUUUUAAUGACUUUUAAUAUUAUGUGAUAAUUUUCAUUAAAAAAUUAAUAUUAAUGAUAAUUAAGUUAUGUAAUAAAUGAAUUAAAUAAAUAAAUUAAAAAUGAUUUUAUUAUAUUAAAAAUCAUUUUAAAUAAUAAUAAGGUAUUAAAAGAUAUUUUAAGUUAUAAAAUAUAACUUUUAAUAUUUAAAGGUAAAAUUCAUUAAUUAAUGAUUAUUAAUGAUAUUAGAGUUAUUUAAUAUUUAUAUUAGUUUAAAAAUGAUUUUAAUAUUAUAAAAAUUAUUUUAAAUGAAAAUAAAGUGUUUAAAGAUAUUUUAAGUUAUAAAAUAUAACUUUUAAUAUUUAAAGGAUAAUUUUAUUAAUAAUUUAAUAUUAAUGAUAUUUAAUAAUUAUGUUAAAUAAAUAGUUUAAAAAUGGUUUUAUUAAUCAUUUAAAAAGGGAUAUAAAUGAAUUAAAAAUAUUUUGAGAUAUGAUAAUAACUUUAAUAUUUUGGCAAUGGUUUCAUUAAUAGUUUAAUAUUAAUUGAAUAUUAAUGAUAAUAGAAUUAUUUAAUUUUUAAAUCAUUUAAUAAUGAUUCUGAUAUUUCAAAAAUUAUGAUAAAUGGUAAUAAUUAUUUAAAAAUUAUUAUAAGUCAUUUAAAAAUAAUAUGACUGAUAUUUACAGAUGUUAAACUUCGGGAUAGAGUCUUAGACUCGAUAAUUACCCGAUAAAGCCGUCGGUAGACCGACAUGUUUCAGAAAUUAAUCUAGACUUAGAUAAUUUGAUUAGUUAUGUGUUUAUUUGUUAUCCAAUGACUGUUGGACCUAUGUGACAAUGUGAUUAGGUAAUGUGCUAACUGCAAUAGGCAGUGUUAUGUGUUACGAUAUAUAAUACUAAUCAGUAAAAUGAUCUUAUUACUGAUAGGUGGUUUCAUAAAAGAUAAAACUAAGUUGAGAAUUGUAAGUAGCGUAUCAGGCAAGUAUCCUACCUUUGCAUUUUUUUUAUGCAAUGGACAUGUGUAAGAAUGUUUCAGAAUUGUAUUAUUACUAUACAGGUUAUUAACCCUAUAUUAUAUACGCCCAUUGAUUAUCAACAUGUUAGUAUAUGAUAAUUCAGAUAUAUAUUCUGUUCGUUAAUUUCUAUAAAUGGUUAUACAAGUGUCCCCACUUGGAUAAUCAUUAUAUUUAAUCACAUGUUGAUACACCUUUGUUAAUUACCCGUAUAUAUAUAUAUAUAUAUAUAUAUAUGUUGAAUUAUAUAUUAUUGUUGAAUAAGAUAAAACCUUUGGUUUGGAACCCCGACAGGUAUGAACAUCCCGUACAUGGGAAAAAGCUUUUAUGCGCCCAAGGUGGACAUAGUGAACGAUAAUAUCGUUCUUGAAAUGUAGUAUUGAUCAAUACAAGGCACAACAGGCUGAUCACCCCCGUGUCCGUAAGUUAUGACGGUUUGCAGAUGAAUUUCUGUUUAACCCUUUCGAAAAUGAAAAUAAUGUUCAUAGUAUGUCACAUAAACCCCAUAUAUAGUCAAUAUGCAGUUUCAAAUAUUUGAAAGAGGGUUGUUAUGUUAUUAAUAUCCUUGGUACAGAUUAUUUCACAACUAUUGACUUGUUGUAGAAGGAUAGUAUAAAGAAAACAUUUAAAUUCUUUUAGCUUAUAUAUAUAUAAUUGCAAAUACUUGCUGGGCACUCAAAUGCUCAUCCUUGCUUAAUUUAAAUAUUUUCAGCUACGUGCGAACAACCUGAAGGAUCCACUAAGAACAAGGG
rnacentral:lncRNA from 1 species